ensembl:lncRNA
UGGCAGAGCUGAAGUCAAAAAUGAGAGAGAGGAACUUAAAGUUAACUCUUUAGUCUGCGGUAGAAGGUACUCAACAACAACAGAAACUAGUUCCAGCUUUCUUAGGGUUUCAGAGGAGAACCAGGGCUCUGCUGGGAAGGCCUGGAUGAGAACACCAAGAGAAGCCUGGAAGUGAGCGCCUGUCAGGGCCCUGUGACUCUGUCGGGCCAGGACCAGGAGUGGGUCCAGACCUCCCUACUUGCCUCUGUGCCUCUUCUGGUUGAAAAAGAUGAAGCCAAGAGGAAGGAAGUGCGGUGUCCUCAUGGAUGUGAGCACAUUCCGUCCUCCGUGCUCAGAUUCAGAGACCUAGAGCUGGUCUGUGGCCAGGAAAUCGGGAUUCCUGAAUGUGCUGGAUGUUUUUCUUGCCCCUCCGGAUGUACUUUCCACCCUUCUCGCCUGCCCUAUGCCCUGGCAGGCUGGCCUCUGUGGACCACAGUCAAAGGCUCCCUUGUGCCGUGGCCUGGCGUUGGGUUCAGCCUAUAGGUGACACUGGCAGGUGAAUGAGAUCCAGGACCCUAAUUGACACGCUGAGUUUUCUUUACUUCAAUUUUCCUCUCCUUGGACCCUGGAGUCAACCUCAUUCACUCUACCAACAUGGUAUCUGUAAUAUGCUGGUUAUGAGCUCAGCACCAGCGAUGCAGAGACGAGAGACGGAGGUCACAGUCAAUGACCAUCCCAGAUGAUGUGGGUUACGCUGGAGCCCUGUCUCCUCUGACCUCCUGCCUCGCUCUCAGGAGGACUCUGUGACUACACCAAGAUGAUCCAGGACAAUCCUCCAUCUCAAGAAUUUGAAAACUUGUGAAGAGUGAGUAUGCUUGUAUUCAUGGCAAUAUAGUUAUUUGCAUAAGUUCAAGAAGAAUCUGUUCUACUUAUACAAGGAAACAAUUGGAAACACUGAUUACAUUAUCAAGGUUUUGACUGGAACGUCAUAUCUAAAAACAUGCAGACUCAGAUAUGACCAGAUAGCUUUUGAGGAACAAAGAUCGGACUUUAUGGAAUAAAGCCAUUUGGAAAUAUUGGCCUGUUACCUUGUUUACAGGGUGCCCAGCAACCUUACCAGUACUAAAACCACCAUUUUUGCUGAAGCCCUGCCAACUGAAGCUGGACAACUUGAUAUAAACCUAAGAGAGCACCAUGCUAGCCCAUGUUUGGACACUCUUCAUGCCUGUUGCUUUGUAAGCCACUCAAAAGGUUCACCUGAAUGCCUGAUGACAUCAUUGGAGACAUUUUAAACCUCAGGGGAUGCUUCAACGCUGACAUCUAGAGAUUGUCUUAACUGACCAUCCCCUGGACUCAAAAUUGGCUUAUAAUUUUCUCCAACCAUUAACCUUUGUUCUUCUAGAAAUGCUUCUCAUUAAAUAUCUGGUUACUUGUUUACACAAUGUAGGCCUAACUUUGGGAGACCCUUUCUAAGUUCUAGAGAUGACCCAAAAGACCUGGAGGGAACUCAAAUUAAAGAGCUAAACACUGUGAGAUGUGUCUCGACACCAUCUUUGUUGUAGAAACUGGGUCCUAUUGAAAUCCUGGAUUUCAUCCCUGCUGGAUGGGAC